rnacentral:rRNA from 1 species
GAUGAACGCUGGCGGCGUGCCUAAUACAUGCAAGUCGAGCGAACAGAUGAUGAGCUUGCUCCUCUGACGUUAGCGGCUGACGGGUGAGUAACACGUGGAUAACCUACCUAUAAGACUUGGAUAACUUCGGGAAACCACAGCUACUACCGGAUAAUAUAUUCAACCGCAUGGUUCAAUAGUGCUAGACGCUUUUCCUGUCACAUAUAGAUGGAUCCGCGCCGCAUUAGCUAGUUGGUAAGGUAACGGCUUACCAAGGCAACGAUGCGUAGCCGACCUGAGAGGGUGAUCGGCCACACUGGAACUGAGACACGGUCCAGACUCCUACGGGAGGCAGCAGUAGGGAAUCUUCCGCAAUGGGCGAAAGCCUGACGGAGCAACGCCGCGUGAGUGAUGAAGGUCUUCGGAUCGUAAAACUCUGUUAUUAGGAAAGAACAAAUGUGUAAGUAACUAUGCACGUCUUGACGGUACCUAAUCAGAAAGCCACGGCUAACUACGUG